AGCUCCAAUAGCGUAUAUUAAAGUUGUUGCAGUUAAAAAGCUCGUAGUUGGAGUUCAGAGUGAGCUCAGCUGGUCGGCCUAAUGGGUCAGAACUGGUUGACUCUCUCUUGUUUGUGGGUCUCGCCCGGAGUUAACUCUUCGGAUGUGGAUCACACAUCGUUUACCUUGAAAAAAUUAGAGUGUUCAAAGCAGGCGUUUGCUUGAAUAUAUUAGCAUGGAAUAAUGGAAUAGGACGCUGGUUCUAUUUUGUUGGUUUUGAGAACCAGAGUAAUGAUUAAUAGGGACAGUUGGGGGCAUUCAUAUUUCAUUGUCAGAGGUGAAAUUCUUGGAUUUAUGAAAGAUGAACUUCUGCGAAAGCAUUUGCCAAGGAUGUUUUCA
rnacentral:rRNA from 1 species